rnacentral:rRNA from 1 species
AUUAUAGGAUUAUUAUAUGUUUAUUUUUAAGUUUUAUUGACUAAAGUAAUAUUUAGUUUCAUUAGAAUAUACGUAAAAAUUAUUUUUAUUAUAGUUUAUUUUACUGAGGAGGUUAUGUUUUAAUUUGAUAAAAGAAGAGUUGAUUUUUUGUACCUUGUGUAUCAGGGUAAAUUCAAAAAGAGGUUUUGAUAAAAGGUUCUCGAAUUUAAUGGAGCUAACUUAAUAUUAUUGUUUUUGUAUCAAAAAAAUAUUAAAUGUUUAGUUAGUAAUGAAAUGUUAGUCGUCUUUAAGGUUAUCUAGUUUUCUAGGAAAAAAAUUAAAUUUUAUUAUAAUUAAACAAAAUUUCUGAUGUUAGGUAGGUGUUGUUAAUUGUAGCAAGUAGAUUCAGGGAUGAGCUUGAUUCUAAAUUUAUAUAUAUUUAUAAGGGUUUUAUAUUGGUAGAAUUAGAAGUUUUAACUAAAGGUGUUAUAACUGUUUUAAAAGUUGAGUUUAAUUUUUAUUUUUAUUAUAUUUUUACUAGAGUAUUGAUUAAAAUAUUAUUUAUUAAGUAAAAAUGAUUUAAUUAGUAAAAUUAUAUGUGAAGUAGUGUUUUUAAGUUAGGUUAUUACAAGGAAUUCGGCAAAUUUGGUUUUCACCUGUUUAUUAAAAACAUGUCUUUUUGGUUGUUAUCUGAAGUCAAACCUGCCCAAUGAGGUUUUAAAUGGCUGCGGUAUUUUGACCGUACAAAGGUAGCAUAAUCAGUAGUUUCUUAAUUGGAAUCUGGAAUGAAGGGUUAGUUGAAAAACUUGCUGUCUCUUUUUGAAUGUUUUGAAUUUUAUUUUUGAGUUAAAAAGCUUAAAUGUUUAUAAAAGACGAGAAGACCCUAUAGAGUUUUAUAAAAUUAGGAUGUGUAAUUUUAGUAUUUUUCUUAUUUGUUUUUAAUUUUAUUUAGUUGGGGUGAUUGAAAAAUUUAUUUAACUUUUUUUUUAAUUAUACCAAUUAUAAUUGACUAUAAGAUCCUUUUAGAUUUAAAGAAAAAAUUACCUUAGGGAUAACAGCGUUAUUUUUAUUUAGAGUUCUAAUCGAAAUAAAAGUUUGCGACCUCGAUGUUGGAUUAAAAUUUAUUUUAGGCGUAGCAGUUUAGUGAUUAGGUCUGUUCGACCUUUAAAAUUUUACAUGAUCUGAGUUUAAACCGGUGUGAGCCAGGUUGGUUUCUAUCUUUAUAAAUAUAUAAUAGGUUAGUACGAAAGGACCAUUUAUU